rnacentral:rRNA from 1 species
GACGAACGCUGGCGGCGUGCUUAACACAUGCAAGUCGAACGGUAAGGCCCUUCGGGGUACACGAGUGGCGAACGGGUGAGUAACACGUGGGUGAUCUGCCCUGCACUUCGGGAUAAGCCUGGGAAACUGGGUCUAAUACCGGAUAGGACCACUGCCUGCAUGGGUGGUGGUGGAAAGCUUUUGCGGUGUGGGAUGGGCCCGCGGCCUAUCAGCUUGUUGGUGGGGUGAUGGCCUACCAAGGCGCCGACGGGUAGCCGGCCUGAGAGGGUGACCGGCCGCACUGGGACUGAGAUACGGCCCAGACGCCUACGGGAGGCAGCAGUGGGGAAUAUUGCACAAUGGGCGCAAGCCUGAUGCAGCGACGCCGCGUGAGGGAUGACGGCCUUCGGGUUGUAAACCUCUUUCAGCACCGACGAAGCGCAAGUGACGGUAGGUGCAGAAGAAGGACCGGCCAACUACGUGCCAGCCGCCGCAGUAA